CAGUGAUUAAUGCCAAAGCCCUGUUGCCUGUGGAGAGGGUGAUGUUUGACUUCCUUGUACAGCUGCAGUUUGUGUGGUGAAGGUGCUCCCACAAUGUCGCUGGGUGGACAUUCAGAUGGUAACCUCAGUAUUUGUAACACCAAACUCUGACAGAAUUACUCAAUUCAUCAGGACCUGGAUAUUUGCAUUUAGUUCGAAUCCCCCUUACCUGCAACACUUUGGACUGAGAGAGGAAACCAGAGCAUCCAGAGGAAGGCCACCGCAGACACACACUUGGAGAAUGGUACUGAAAGGGUGGAUUUGUGGAUGAGAAAUUCAAAUUGAGCUUUCUGUUCAGACCCGAUGGUUACUGGAUCCGUGCCGAUCUGAAUAUCAUUGGCCUUCUCAUCUGGAAGGAAAGGGUGCUGGAUGGUGAAGAUUUACAGACUGAAAUCUCAAACUCGUGCAGAUUGUGAUUAAGUUAACCAGUGUUUGAAGAACCAAGGAUAGAGAAUCACUCAGCCAAAAUCCUGCACACUCUCCCUCGCAGCAUUGUCGGUCUCUCUGCGCCACAUAGGCUGUGAAUGGUUCAAGACAGCAGCUCACUACCAUCUUCUCAAGGGUAACUGGAGAUGGGGAAUAAAUGCUGGC